GCACUGCUAGUGUAGUGGUAUCACGCAAGACUCCCAUUCUUGCAACCCGGGUUCGAUUCCCGGGCAGUGCA
rfam:Lutzomyia longipalpis Contig30823, whole genome shotgun sequence.